GGUCUGAUGGUCUAGAGGUAUGAUUCGCUCUUAGGGUAAUUUGUCAAUCUCAAAUGGGCGAGGUCCCGGGUUCAAUUCCCGGUCAGACCC